AGCUCUGCAUGCCCCACUGUGCUUGAGAGAGGAUAGAGGAAUCUGUGCUGCCUGAGGAUGGGGUAUUUAUAUGACCCAGGGUGGGGCGCCCACCUGAUAAGCAGCUGGGGCUGCCCGUUCCCAGUGUCUGGGUCCAAGGCCUAGGCAGGCCUUUCGUUAGAUCUGACAUCUCCCUGGGCUGCAAAAUGGAAACAGCUGAAGCAUCUGCACACAGUAGGAAAGGAGCUAGAGACAGGGCUGGGAGGUGGCCAGUGGCCAUUGUCUGUGACCUUCCCAGCGCCCACUGCAAGUCAGACUUGGAGAAGACAGUGGUGGGAUCCCCACCUCUGUCGGCUUUGAGCGGGUGGUCUUGGAUGCCUGGGAUAGGGGCCUGUCCUUCAGUGCUUCCUCAAAGCCAGGAGCUGACCAGUGGAGGUGAGACAAUGUCAUCCCUCAAAACCAACUCUCACAAAUCAGGAGCAUUCUUAAAAUAGAUCUGUAAAUAGGCCAGUAGCAGCGAUUUGUGUUUGUGUAUGUCUGACGCUUACAAAGCUCUUUGACAUAUGACCUGUGAUCUCAUUCCAUCUUCACAGGUGAGGAAAAGAGCUCAGUGUGCUCAUGUGACAUGUUCUCACAGGAAGUGCUAAUAUGGUCAAAUCCUGAGUGCAUAGACCUACCAGGAGGGAGAGAAGCUGACCACACUCUCACAGAGAAGGUUGCCCUUCAACAACGAGAGAUGUGUCAAUCCAACCAACUGAAGGCUUUAAAUGGAGAAGUGAUAAUUUCAACAGUCAGAAGAGAGAACUUUCAACUCUACUUCAGCGAGUCAGCUUCUCUGGAAUUCAUCCAAAAUCUUCAUCAGAGUUCCCAGCUUGUGGCCUGACCUAUGGAAUUGGCACUUGCCUAUCUCCGCAGUCAUUUUUGACUGCGAAUAAUACCCGCGAGACUCGUGUGAGGCCCGACUUGAGGGUGGGAAACUUAUUUCCAUGUUACCACUGUAACAAGCACUCAGACAUCCCUUUGUAUCUGAUUCCUCUGCUUUUAGAGUCCCCUGAGCAAUCUCUUAUACCUAUAACAUCCCAC